GCCCCUGCUGCACAACAGACUGGCUUCAAUCUGCUUGAUGCAUGAACCCCAGUUGGACUUCAGCUUGUGCCCUGACUACAGAUGCUGGUCUGGAAUCGGCCCACAAGACUCCUUGAGGUCCAAAUGCAGCCUGAAAGGAGUCCCACAAUCUGAAUCCAGCUUGGGAUAACAGACGAGACAAAGAUUUGUAGUAAGGACAGAGAAACAGAAGCAUUCACAGAAGAACAAGCUCAAGGUCACCCAGAAGAUCGCUGGCACAACUGGUGACAGAACCCUGUGUUGGAUAGAGUAAGUCAGGAGACGUAUCUGUUAAUCCACAUUGCCUCAACUGCUGAUUAUUUGCAUAUCUUUAAGACCUUGUGUGCACUGCAGUAAACUGGACCUUAAUUCUUUAGCAAGGUUUGCUACUUCCCAAGGCACAAUGGAAAGCCUG